GUAAUCCGGUGCCCUACAGAUCCCGAUGAUGCCGGAUUAGUGAUGGUCGACCUAUACAGUGGACCCCCGCUUAACGAUCACCUCCAAAUGCAACCAAUUAUAUGAUGGAGCUGAAGAUCCUUGGGGUUCAAUCUGACAAGAGAGUCUCCAUGCCUCUUUAUCAUCUAAUACAAGUACAGAGUCCCACCAUCUUUCAAACAUCUCAUCUCUCUCCAUUUGAUAAGCAUUAGCUGCACCUUGGAGCAGUCGGAUCUGAAGUUGCAAUCAACCACUCAGAAGGAAUGGUGGGACUGCUGCAGUCAGAGGGUCACACUUCCGGCAAGACGACUCAGUGAAAGAUUUUUUUUUUUUACCCUACAUUGGUGGGAGAUGGCUGAUGACAAAAAAAGUACUUAUCAGAAUUAUAUUAUUAAUACUAGUAGUUUAUCCAUAUUAUAAUAGUAAACUUGGUUAACCUGAUAAGGCUGAAUGUUUCAUGAAAUUUUAGAGAUAGAGCUUACUGGUAACUAAAAAUGUAGAGCAGUACACAAAGCAGCUGUUAAUUCAUGUAAAUGAUAUGCAUAUUUAUGUAACGAGGUCUGCCAAAAGUCAUAUAUAAGCCAUUUGGGUUAACAAAACAUUUAUUUAACAUAUACCUGUGCCAGAAC